rnacentral:rRNA from 1 species
GUAGGGAAUAUUGGACAAUGGGGGCAACCCUGAUCCAGCGACGCCGCGUGAGUGAUGAAGGCCUUCGGGUCGUAAAGCUCUGUUGCAGGGGAAGAACACAAUGACGGUACCCUGCUAGAAAGGAUCGGCUAACUUCGUGCCAGCAGCCGCGGUAAGACGAGGGAUCCUAGCGUUGUUCGGAAUUAUUGGGCGUAAAGCGGGUGCAGGUGGCUUGGUAAGUCAGAUGUGAAAGCCUGGGGCUUAACCCCAGAAGUGCAUUCGAUACUGCUGAGCUUGAGUGCUGGAGAGGCUAAUAGAAUUCCGGGUGUAGUGGUGAAAGACGUAGAUAUCAGGAGGAAUACCGGAGGCGAAGGCGGAUAGCUGGCCAGACACUGACACUCAGACCCGAAAGCGUGGGGAUCAAACAGGAUUAGAUACCCGAGUAGUCC